rnacentral:rRNA from 1 species
GAAUUUCGGACAAUGGGCGCAAGCCUGAUCCAGCAAUGCCGCGCGCAGGAUGAAGGCCUUCGGGUUGUAAACUGCUUUUGUACGGAACGAAAAUCUUUGGGUCCUUACCCCGGAGGCAUUACGGGACCGUAAGAAUCAGCACCGGCCAACCACGUGCCUGCAGCCGCGGUCAUCCGGAGGGUGAAAGCGUUAAUCGGAAUUCCUGGGCGUAAAGCGUGCGGAGGCGGUUUUGUAAGACAGAGGUGAAAACCCCGGGCUCAACCUGGGAACUGCCUUUGUGACGGCAAGGCUAGAGUACGGCAGAGGGGGGUGGAAUUCCGCGUGUAGCAGUGAAAGGCGUAGAUAUGCGGAGGAACACGGAUGGCGAAGGCAACCCCCUGGGCCUGUACGGACGCUCAUGCACGAAAGCGUGGGGAGCAACCA